GUGUUGCACGUGGUCAGGGUUUAAUUCUUAUUAAUACUUGUUCUUUUGGGAGAAAGUUGAACUUUGUCAUUUUUGGGGAAAUUUACUUGCAUAAAUAGGGCGUUUCCAGACAACUCCUCCUACAGUUUGAAUGCUAGGAAUUUAUCACUCUACUGGCUGUUUGUACAUGUAUUGAAGGUGUGCAUGUGGUCAGGUUUUUUUUAUUAUUUU
rnacentral:lncRNA from 1 species